UACAUAGGGUGCGAGCGUUAAUCGGAAUUACUGGGCGUAAAGCGUGCGCAGGCGGUUCGUUGUGUCGGCGGUGAAAGCCCCGGGCUUAACCUGGGAAUGGCCGUUGAAACUGGCGAACUGGAGUGUGGCAGAGGGGGGUGGAAUUCCGCGUGUAGCAGUGAAAUGCGUAGAGAUGCGGAGGAACACCGAUGGCGAAGGCAGCCCCCUGGGCUAACACUGACGCUCAUGCACGAAAGCGUGGGGAGCAAACAGG
rnacentral:rRNA from 1 species